rnacentral:rRNA from 1 species
AGUGAACGCUGGCGGUAGGCCUAACACAUGCAAGUCGAACGGCAGCACAGUAAGAGCUUGCUCUUACGGGUGGCGAGUGGCGGACGGGUGAGGAAUACAUCGGAAUCUACUUUUUCGUGGGGGAUAACGUAGGGAAACUUACGCUAAUACCGCAUACGACCUACGGGUGAAAGCAGGGGAUCUUCGGACCUUGCGCGAUUGUAUGAGCCGAUGUCGGAUUAGCUAGUUGGCGGGGUAAAGGCCCACCAAGGCGACGAUCCGUAGCUGGUCUGAGAGGAUGAUCGGCCACACUGGAACUGAGACACGGUCCAGACUCCUACGGGAGGCAGCAGUGGGGAAUAUUGGACAAUGGGCGCAAGCCUGAUCCAGCCAUACCGAGUGGGUGAAGAAGGCCUUCGGGUUGUAAAGCCCUUUUGUUGGGAAAGAAAAGCAGCAGGUUAAUACCCCGCUGUUCUGACGGUACCCAAAGAAUAAGCACCGGCUAACUUCGUG